GCUUAUCAGAAAAAAAGUUUGAAUUAUGGCGAGAAAUAAAAGUCUGAAACAUGAUUAAACUCCUAAGCAGAAAACCUACCGCGCUUCGCUUGGUCAACCCCUCAGCGGCAAAAAUUAAAAUUUUUACCGCUUCGGCGUUAUAACCUCACACUCAAUCUUUUAUCACGAAGUCAUGAUUGAAUCGCGAGUGGUCGGCAGAUU
rnacentral:rRNA from 1 species